UAAAAGGUUGUGUGGUUUGGUGCUUAGCACAUCAACGACCAUGGACAUUUCCCUAAUCAUAACAUCUUAAAAUGUCUCUUCAUGGUGAGAUUACUUUGGUAAUACUUUUUCUAUAGAGAUCAUUUCCAAGGAAAUUGCAAAUUCCCUAAAAUAAUGUGGUAUUGGUAUUGUGGGUCCCAAUAUUCAAAUGUCUAAACACUUCCACCCAGUAUUUUUUAGUUAAAAAAUAAGUCUCCCUCCCCGCUUGUGGAAACUUAGCAUAUCAGGAAGCAGGCCAGGUUAGAAUGCUUCAAGGCCAAGCAGUGAUUUUCACAUGGAGGGCCAUCCUAUCAGAAGCUUGUCCCACUUGGAACAAAAUGGUACAACCCAAAUGGACCAUGCCACAUAAUAUUUCUGUAGGAACAGUUCUAGACUUCAGGCCUCUUCUUUCCAUCUAUCAUGCCAUCUAUCACAGUCCUGAACCUGAUUCCACCCCCUUCUCUGGCAGGUCUUAAUGGACUUGCCCUAAUCUUGCAAAUGCCAUUACAGUGGUAAAUUGGGUUACAGACGCUUCAGGUAACACAGGUUACAGACUCCACUAACCCAGAGUACCUCGGGUUAAGAACUUUGCUUCAGGAAGAGAACAGAAAUUGCACGGUGGCAGCAGGAGGCCCCAUUAGCUAAAGUGGUGCUUCAGGUUAAGAACAGUUUCAGGUUAAGAACGGACCUCCAGAACGAAUUAAGUUCUUAACCCGAGGUACCACUGUACUUACCUCUGAAGGCUACUUCAGAUUUCAAGUGUGGACCUAUAUUUGCAAACAAGACCUGGGCUAUGGAAGCCAUGGUUGGCUGUUGAGCAUCUGCCCUGUCAGAAGCUGAUGUUUGCCUUUGUUUAGCGUGUGACACGGCCCUCGCACGUCCUCGUAUGCGUGGCUUGCGACGGCACUGUGACCCCAUUCUUUCAUUUAAAAUUAAAGAAGUGCGCUCUUUGUCCUCUAACAGCAUUCUUCCCCGCAACACCGCUCCGCAAAAUCUGGAAGCCAGUGAAGUCCAAGGAAAUCUCUCUUCUGCAAGACAUCAUUGGGCAGUUAGAUCAAGGCCUUGAAGGGCCCUGUGAUCUUCCUGGAGCUCCUCAGAAAGAGAAGUGUUGCUCGUCCAUUGAGACAAAAGCGGCUUCAUCUAAUGUGAUUGGACACAAAAGCAUUGUCAGAUGUGUAAAUGCAAAUUUAAUGAGUACCAAGGAGGGAAGGGAGGUGGCGGCUGGUGAGAGAAACUUCCAAAUCAAUGCAAAAAUAUUCGGCGCUGCAGUCAUUUUGAUUAAAAAAGAACACAGAGAGAGGAGACCACUUGAAAUAAGCAAAAAGGGGG